AAAUAACUUCCCACAGGUAGCUAUGUCUUUGAAGAUGAGAGCUUUUUGGGUGUUACUGGUCUCUUGCUCUGCCAUAAAUGGCUGUGAAUGGUAAUUGCAUCAACGCUUGCAGAGAGUGUCUUUGCAGUUUCAGGGCAGUAUGUAUAUAAAGAUCGGAACUGGCAGCCGGAGUCCCGGAAGAGGAUUAGGAAGUUGUUGGCAUCUGAUUUCUCCAUUUCCUUCAGGGAAUAAAGAAGAAAAGUACAAGAUAGUUACACUCUCUUUGCUUAAUGCUGUACCCCCCUCAAGAUUUGAGUCCGAUAGCCACUCCAACUGGGAAUUCUAGGUGUUAAAACUUUCGACAAUUCUGGAAUAUUAAUCAAUGGCAUCAAGAUGGAUUUACAGGUAGUUCUUGAUUUAUGAUCGCAAUUGGGACAGGAACAUCUGUUACCAAGCAAUGUGGUUGGUGAAUUGUGCCCGAAUUUACGACCUUUUUUGCUGUGGUUGUAAGUGAAUCACAUGAUUGUUAAGCAAAUCUGGCUUCCCCUGUUGACUUUGCUUGUUGGGAGCCCCCUGGAAAAAUCAUAAAUGAUGAUCAAGUGACCCCAGAAUACUGCAAGCAAACAUGCUGGUUGCCAAAUGCCUAAUUUUGAUCAAGUGACUACAGUGAUGCUAUGAUGGUUGUAAAUGUAAGGAGUGGCUGUAAAUCAUUUUUUUCAGCACUACUG